AUGAAUCUCUUCAUCAUCACCUUCAUCUGGAUUCUUGGAGGUUUUAUUCAAGAAUCCAGAGGAGUUACUGUAACUCAGAGUAAAGCUCAAUCUGUUUCUGUUGGACAAACCGUCAAUAUAAAGUGUACAACUGAUACUGGAAUAUAUACCAAUGAUUUAUAUUGGUAUCAGCAGAAACCUGGAGAAACUCCUAAACUCCUCAUUGAUCGCAUAGGUAUUCGUUAUGGUGACACUUCACAGAGAUUCAGUGGCAGUGGAGCAAGAUAUGGUACAGAUUUUACUCUGAGCAUCAGUGGAGUUCAGACUGAAGAUGAAGGAGAUUAUUACUGUAUGAGUUUUCACUAUAUCAACAGUAAACAUGUGUUCACACAGUGA